rnacentral:rRNA from 1 species
UACGAGGGGGGCAAAUGUUGUUCGGAAUCACUGGGCGUAAAGGGAGCGUAGGCGGGCUUCUAAGUUAGGUGUUUAAUCCCAGGGCCCAACCCUGGUCAGGCACCUAAAACUGGGAGUCUUGAAUAGUGGAGAGGACGAUGGAAUUGGGGGUGUAGCGGUGGAAUGCGUAGAGAUCCCCAAGAACACCAGUUGCGAAGGCGGCUGACUGGACACAUAUUGACGCUGAGGCUCGAAAGCAUGGGGAGCAAACAGG